rnacentral:lncRNA from 10 species
UCAGCUCUGUCUCUGUGUCAUUUGUUAAUUCUGAGUCCUGCUUGCAUCUUGGCAUUGAUUCCACCCACCCCCUCCUCCCCCAAGUAGGGAGAACAAUAACAAUGCUUACAUUCAAGCUUUAUCCUAGGCCAUCAUUACUGGUAUUCUAUAGUUCAGGGAAAAACUGAGGCACAGAGAGGUUAAGUAACUUGCCCAAAUCACACAGCUGGUAAGUGGCAGAACCAUAGCCGAAUUCUGGCAGUCCACUGCAAAGCCCACUCUCAAGCAAUCUCUAAUCGCAAUGACUUGGCUCUCAGGGUUGUGGUGGGUAAGCCUGCUGUGCUCGGAAACUGAAUAGUAGCUCAUGGCCUAUCCAUGAUAGGUAAAGGGUUGAUUGGUUGCAAACCUCUUAUCUAAAUGGCCUGUAAAAGCACACACUGUGCUUGCUCACAGUGCCCAGAGACCACGUGGGAGGUGCCAAAUAUGGGUGGUAACAGGCAAGGAAGAGGGAGUAUCUGUACCAAAUCUGGUUUUGAGGAAGAAUUGUAUGUCAUGUUGAAUUGACAGUCUGGCUAAUUGGAUGGGUAGAUGGCUCCUACAUGGGUGUCGUAGGCUCUGGCAAUGCUGGGCAUCCCAUUUUCCCAUAACUUGUCAGGCUUAAAGUGAUUACUGAGGAAGGUGGAAACCAGGCUUGACCACUUGGUUCUUGGUCCAUGUGUUCAGACUUCCCUAGAGAGCACCUGUCCUGGAGGAUCUAAGCCAGGGCUUCUCAUGGUGAGCCCUCUCCGAGAGUGGAGAAGCAGACCAAGGCAGUGGGGAGUGGGACUCUUCUUAUGUGGAUCAUGCCCAGCACCAAAUGAGAUUGAUUCCAGAUUAGGUCAGCAGUCAUUCUAGACCAGAUGGUCCCUAUGGAAAAAAAGUGGAGAGUUAGAACAGGGAAGGGUGAGCAGCAAAAGAUGCAAAGGAGAGGGAAAACUGGAACAAGGGACAAUAAUUUCAAAUCUGUAGGUUUGUCUUUUUCCCUCUCUUCCUAAGCAGUUUAGUCCUAAAGCCACUAAAUAAUGCACAGCCAAAAGGGAAAAUAUUCGUGCAUGUGGCAGGGGGAGAAGCCAGCACUAACUUUUGCUAGAAGUGUUCAUUGGAGCCCCAGAAAAUCCCCUGGGUUCCAGACCUAGUCCUCUGCCACGAUCGUGUGGUAAUAACCCCAAUUUUCCCUUGAUAAUUGGGGUCAGUCACUUCAGCCCGCAAAGUCACUGCUCUUUUUUGAUUUAAUGUCAUGAGGCACCCAAAAAUGUCUAAAUGGAGGCAGUCUCAGCUUCCAGUUUGAUGGAGCCAUUGUUGGGUCCCUGGUGGAAAUAGUCCUCCCUUGGGAACCAAGACCUUCCAAGCAAGCAGAGCUCAAAAUUGUGGAGAUGAGAAGUGACUGGUCAUUAUGUGUGCUAGUGGGAAGACCUGCUUUCUUUUCUGUUCUUGCUUCCUGGGCCCAUGAAGAGACAGCACUAUGAAUAGGUCUUUGAUUUGAAGGAUAUAUUGCAUCCUAUAAGAUAAAACCCUAUUCUUUCAGGGUGUUGACUCCCAUCUGGUGCCCUAGGUAAUUAUCUAGUAGGCCAUCCCACUGUUCAGACUGACCUCUUCACGAUGGGAUCUCUG